CUCAAAGCAAAGCACCGAGGAAAAAAAAAAAGGAAUAGACAGAACAGCCCGCGCCGCGACUCUUCUGCUAUGGCGAAGCCGGCGGCAGCGAGGAAGCCCUCGGCGGCGUCUACCGUCGCGCUAACGCUCGCCCUGGCCCUCGCCUCCGCGGGCCUCCUCUUCCUCCUGCUCAGCCUCUCGCCCUCCUCCCCGUCCCCGACCGCCCACCAGCACCGCCGCCUCCGCCUCCGCUCCCGCCACCGCCAGAUCCCGUUCGACCCUGUCAUCGCGGACCUCGAGCGCCGCCUCGAGGACCGCGAGUGGGAGCGCCUCGCCGCCGCGGGGCUGCACGCACCGGGCAUGGAGGCGGCGCCCGUCCCCGGCGACCUCUCCGGCGGCGAGGCCGACGCCGACGAGGACUAUAUCAACGACGCCGCGCGGUUCAACGUCACGCGCCGCGUGGAGGCGCUGUUCCCGAAGAUCGACGUGGACCCCGCCGACGGCGCCGUCACGGGCGCCGAGCUGGCCGCGUGGAACCUGGCGUCCGCGCGGCGGGAGGUGCUGCACCGCACCGCUCGGGAGCUCGAGCUGCACGACCGCGACCACGACGGUCGCAUCGCCUUCUCCGAGUACGAGCGGCCUAGUUGGGCCUGGCGGUUCGACGAUCAUAACUCAACUAAUGAUGGGGUGGGAUGGUGGAAGGAAGAGCACUUCAAUGCAUCAGAUAUGGACAGUGACGGCUUUCUAAAUCUCACUGAGUUUAAUGACUUCUUACAUCCAGCUGACACUAUCAAUCCUAAGCUAAUACAUUGGUUGUGCAAAGAAGAAGUCAGGGAAAGAGAUAAAGACAAUGAUGGAAAGCUCAAUUUCCAAGAGUUCUUCAGUGGAUUAUUUUACUCGAUUCGACAUUAUGAUGACGAAGCUUCAACAGAUGACUCCAAUGGCUCUGAUGCACCUGUUAAAAAAUCAUUUUCGCAGCUUGAUCUAGAUAAUGAUGGGCUCUUGUCAGCGGAUGAGCUAAAGCCUAUAAUUGGAAAUCUCCAUCCAUCAGAACACUUCUAUGCCAAGCAACAAGCUGACUAUGUAAUAUCGCAGGCUGACACGAACAAAGAUGGACAUUUGAGUAUGAAAGAGAUGAUUGAGAACCCCUAUGUAUUUUACAGUGCUUUAUUCACAGAAGAUGAUUAUGGGUUUCAUGAUGAGCUACGCUAGUUCCUUUAAGCAGCACAAAGCUUUGUGGAAUCACCACCUUAUGUACACUUUGUUUGGCACUGCUGUGAAUAGAUCAUUUCCAUGUGGCUGCAAGCACAUUUUAUGGUGAUUCUCUGUAUAACACGCGCAUGUAGUUUCAUGCACCCGCUCUAGAAGUAAAGUGUUCUUUUGUAACCUUAACCUUUUCUACAUCAGUUUCUCCACAUGUAGGGUGAGGAGGUGAGGUGGUAUUCGUUCUUUCAUUUUUUUUAUACAAAAAUAGUAGCUUGUUCAAGAAUCACAUUUUGUAAACAACAAAAACCAGGAAGGUUUACUGUAGGCCAUGUAUUGGCCUUCCCGAA